rnacentral:rRNA from 1 species
GAUGAACGCUAGCGGCAGGCCUAACACAUGCAAGUCGAGGGGCAGCAUAAAACAAGCUUGCUUGUUUGGUGGCGACCGGCGCACGGGUGCGUAACGCGUAUGCAACCUACCCUGUACUGGGGGAUAGCCCGGAGAAAUUCGGAUUAAGACCCCAUAGUAUAUAACCUUCGCAUGUUUGGUAUAUUAAAGGUUACGGUACAGGAUGGGCAUGCGUCCUAUUAGCUAGAUGGUGAGGUAACGGCUCACCAUGGCGACGAUAGGUAGGGCGCCUGAGAGGGUGGUCCCCCACACUGGUACUGAGACACGGACCAGACUCCUACGGGAGGCAGCAGUGAGGAAUAUUGGUCAAUGGGCGCAAGCCUGAACCAGCCAUGCCGCGUGCAGGAAGAAGGUCCUAUGGAUUGUAAACUGCUUUUAUUUGGGAAUAAACCUCUUUACGUGUAGAGAGCUGAAGGUACCAAAUGAAUAAGCACCGGCUAACUCCGUGCCAGCCGCCGCCGUAACAC